rnacentral:rRNA from 1 species
GAGGCGAGACCGCGAGGUGGAGCAAAUCUCAAAAAAGCCGUCCCAGUUCGGAUCGCAGGCUGCAACCCGCCUGCGUGAAGUUGGAAUCGCUAGUAAUCGCGGAUCAGCAUGCCGCGGUGAAUACGUUCCCGGGCCCUGUACACACCGCCCGUCACACCAUGAGAGUCGGGAACACCCGAAGUCCGUAGCCUAACCGCAAGGGGGGCGCGGCCGAAGGUGGGUUCGAUAAUUGGGGUGAAGUCGUAACAAGGUAUC